GGCCUCUAUGGUGUUAUAGUAGCACGUGCCUCCGGUAUUGGCGAAACGCGGGUUCAACUCCCGAGUAGGGUCG